GAUGAACGCUGGCGGCGUGCCUAAUACAUGCAAGUCGAGCGGACGCACGAGAAGCUUUCUUCUCUGAUGUUAGCGGCGGGCGGGUGAGUAACACAUGGAUACGCUCCCUAUAAGACUGGGAUAACUUCGUUAAACCGUAGCUAAUACCGGAUAAUAUUUUGAACCGCAGGGUUCAAAAGUGAAAGACGGUCUUGCGGUCACUGAUAGAUGGAGCCGCGCUGGAUUAGCUAGUUGGUAAGGUAACGGCUUACCAAGGCAACGAUGCGUAGCCGACCUGAGAGGGUGAUCAGCCACACUGGAACUGAGACACGGUCCAGACUCCUACGGGAGGCAGCAGUAGGGAAUCUUCGACAAUGGGCGAAAGCCUGACGGAGCAACGCCGCGUGAGUGAUGAAGGUCUUCGGAUCGUAAACCUCUGUUAUAAGGGAAGAAAAGAUGUGUAAGUAAAUGUGGACAUCAUGACGGUACCUAAUGAGUAAGCAACGGCUAACUACGUG
rnacentral:rRNA from 1 species